rnacentral:lncRNA from 1 species
CCGACCUCUCGCCCCUGCUGGCCUUCUCCAUACUGCUCAACAGCGUCCAGCCCGUGCUGUCAGGUGUCGCUGUUGGUGCCGGUUGGCAAGGCGUAGUCGCGUACGUCAACGUCACGUCGUACUACCUGAUCGGCAUUCCUCUUGGCGCAGUCCUAGGCUACGUGGUGGGGCUUCAUGUGAAGGUGAGGUGCUCUCAGAGCCUGGUAUAUAUACAUGUCCCAUGCAUGCAUGGUGUGUCUCUUAUUAUUAGUGCAUCCAGCUCGGCUCUAAUAAGUUGUCGAAAUGGACAUGUAUAUAUAUGGACAGGGCAUUUGGAUCGGAAUGCUGCUCGGAACGCUGGUCCAGACUAUCGUGCUUCUCUUCAUAACAGUAAAGACCGACUGGGACAAACAGGUUUGCUGCUUGCUCAGUGCGUGUGCGUUGUGCGUUGUGCUGUGGCUGAACAACUACAGUCUUAGCCGAGAACGGCAUUAAUGUGCUGAACUAUUAUGAACCCCCUCCCUCUCCCUAUCUGCAGGUGGUGGCCGCUCAAGAGAGGCUGAAGAAAUGGUACAUGGAAGAGAACAGAAGGAUGCAGGCCUCGAGGGGGAAUCCUUGAGCCGGUCCUUCAACCAACUUCAAGCCUGGCCUUUGUGGGUUGCUGAUUGACACAAUUUUAUGCUAAUAUUUCUACUAUUCAUCACCUCAACAUCAAAGUGAGCCCGGCAUUCCAGAUCGUGUGCUCCUCGAGCCAAGCAAUGGAAAGGCACUGUCACUGUCAGCAGCAGUAGGAUAACCAAAAAAAAACAUUGUGUUAUUUGCUAAGUGCGAGUUUGGCUCAAUUUUCGCUAAGUGAGAGAGAGCCUAUGUUGGCUAAGUGCGACUUUGGCUCAAUUUUGGGCGUAUGCUAAUAUGUUUCACAACAGGGCAGUGCUUGAGAUUUGGGAUAUCUGUAGCGCUAUAACUGACUCAAUUUUGGGCAUAUGCUAAUUUGCUAAGUGCGAACAAAUUCAUGCAGUUAUGGCCAUGCACUACUACACUUCGACAUGUGUGUGUAUAUACUCAGGUUCAUGAAAAUAGUGUGGUAGAUCGAUCGUGGGACUGAACCACAUAUUGAUCACAUCAAUUAGUAAUAAGGGACCUAGCGUCGUAUCGUAUCACAUUCUGCAACCAAACAUGAAAGGAACACAGAGAACACAACCAUAUUCACAGAGCACUACGCUAAUAACUGGAACAAAUUAUUUAGGUGCAAACUGUAUCGUCACCUUAAUCGAACUGGAGUGUCGACGACGAACAGGGCUACUGGAUGACAGGUAGUGUAGUUACGAAGCUGCAAUCACAACGUACAGGAAAAUAUUAGUAAGAAACUAAGAAUACAAGAUGAGGAAUGUUCGAAGUACUGAAUCGAACAGAUCACACCGAUAGCAUUUGAUACAUAUACAUCAAAGAAACACGAUUCGAAGGCAAAAAGGAAUCAAUGUCGCAGCCACAUAGCCGGACGUGGAAGGAUCCAUACCAAGUCAGAAGGGGGAACGAAUAGUACCAGAAGACGAUUCCGUGAAUAACAGCUAAUCGGCCGCGGCGAGAUGAACCACCGGGUACAGAAACAACACCCGCCAGUAAGGUAAGAGGGAAGGAUGGAAGCUUGGAGAGGGGGAAAACGCGAGAACCUGGUGGGGCGCGGCGACGACGGCCUAGCUGGAAGUGGCGGCGGUGAGCAGGCACGAAGGAUGAGAGCGGAACCCUAACGCGCGGGGGAGUGAGGCCACGGGUCUGCUCGGCCGAAUUUUUUUUUGUAUUUUAGCCCUUAAACAGAAGUAAAAUCACGUUUAGACCUAAAAAAAUUUUAAAUGCAGUUUUG